GUGGGGAAUAUUGGACAAUGGGCGAAAGCCUGAUCCAGCCAUGCCGCGUGUGUGAAGAAGGUCUUCGGAUUGUAAAGCACUUUAAGUUGGGAGGAAGGGCAGUAAGUUAAUACCUUGCUGUUUUGACGUUACCGACAGAAUAAGCACCGGCUAACUUCGUGCCAGCAGCCGCGGUAAUACGAAGGGUGCAAGCGUUAAUCGGAAUUACUGGGCGUAAAGCGCGCGUAGGUGGUUUUGUAAGUUGGAGGUGAAAUCCCCGGGCUCAACCUGGGAACUGCAUCCAAAAUUGCAUGACUAGAGUACGGUAGAGGGUAGUGGAAUUUCCUGUGUAGCGGUGAAAUGCGUAGAUAUAGGAAGGAACACCAGUGGCGAAGGCGACUACCUGGACUGAUACUGACACUGAGGUGCGAAAGCGUGGGGAGCAAACAGGAUUAGAAACCCUGGUAGUCC
rnacentral:rRNA from 1 species